UACGUAGGGAGCAAGCGUUGUUCGGAUUUACUGGGCGUAAAGCGCACGUAGGCGGCUUGGCAAGUCGGAUGUGAAAGCCCUCGGCUCAACCAAGGAAGUGCAUCCGAAACUGCUGAGCUUGAGUACUUAAGAGGAUCGCGGAAUUCCCGGUGUAGAGGUGAAAUUCGUAGAUAUCGGGAGGAACACCAGUGGCGAAGGCGGCGAUCUGGGAAGAUACUGACGCUGAGGUGCGAAAGCGUGGGGAGCAAACAGG
rnacentral:rRNA from 1 species